rnacentral:rRNA from 1 species
AGAGUUUGAUCCUGGCUCAGAGCGAACGCUGGCGGCAGGCCUAACACAUGCAAGUCGAACGGACCCUUCGGGGUUAGUGGCGGACGGGUGAGUAACACGUGGGAACGUGCCUUUAGGUUCGGAAUAGCUCCUGGAAACGGGUGGUAAUGCCGAAUGUGCCCUUCGGGGGAAAGAUUUAUCGCCUUUAGAGCGGCCCGCGUCUGAUUAGCUAGUUGGUGGGGUAAUGGCCCACCAAGGCUACGAUCAGUAGCUGGUCUGAGAGGAUGACCAGCCACAUUGGGACUGAGACACGGCCCAAACUCCUACGGGAGGCAGCAGUGGGGAAUCUUGCGCAAUGGGCGAAAGCCUGACGCAGCCAUGCCGCGUGUAUGAUGAAGGUCUUAGGAUUGUAAAAUACUUUCACCGGUGAAGAUAAUGACUGUAGCCGGAGAAGAAGCCCCGGCUAACUUCGUGCCAGCAGCCGCGGUAAUACGAAGGGGGCUAGCGUUGCUCGGAAUUACUGGGCGUAAAGGGAGCGUAGGCGGACAUUUAAGUCAGAGGUGAAAUCCCGGAGCUUAACUUCGGAACUGCCUUUGAUACUGGGUGUCUUGAGUGUGAGAGAGGUAUGUGGAACUCCGAGUGUAGAGGUGAAAUUCGUAGAUAUUCGG